CUUUUUGGAAUGGGGAAGGCAUGAGACUAAGUUGUAGCUGCUAGAGUUUCCCAGAAUCAUGGCUGAUCCACAAGGAUUUGCCACUGGAGGAAUCAGAUUUUAAUAAGAUUUACAAGAUUAGGAUUUAGUUGUUGCGCCCAGAGAUUGAGUUACCGUCGUUUCUGAACUAAGUUUGUGUUGCGUUUUCCUUCAUGUGGUGGCUUGUUUGGGUUCAAAAGAGAAAGGCCGACCAGCAGCUCCCGAGGAACGGUACAACUGAGAUGGCAGCUCGAGGUGAAAGAGAGGAACUAGACAGACGGAAGAAAGAACGGAGCCAAGUCAAAGUGGACUCUGAUCAAAGCUCAAUUUUACUAUUCCAACACGCAGUUAUGAAGGAGGGGAAGGGGGGGCCGAUUCCCGCCAAAUAAUCCUGGAGUCCAGUAGCAGGGUGACCACGUGUAUGGCUCCAGAACAGCAAAGCAGCAGGUUCCAGCAGUGGGCGUGGCAGAACGAUUGAGGGGCAAGCUCCAUCCAGAUGUAAACAGUGGAACCAUUAAGGCUGGGGGAGGGAAGGCUACAGGUUCAGAUACCAUAAAUGCAUAGAGGCCAUAAAUUCUGAUCCAGUA
rnacentral:lncRNA from 1 species